AUGGAAACGCAUUCUUCAUCAUCAAUGCUGAAGUUAAGUCACAUGAUCUAUGACACUGCAGUCGAGUUAGCAGGCUGCACGAUACACCGACACGACAGGAACAGCAACUCAGGCAAAAGCAGAGGAGGGGGGCUAUGCGUUUACGUGCACAAUGAGUGCUGUUGUAACAGCAGAAUCAUUCAUACACACUGUUCUCCUGAUUUGGAGGCUCUGGCUGUUUCGUGCAGACCUUUUUACAUUCCGAGGGAGUUUGCAGUGGUUAUUGUGAUAGCUGUCUAUAUACCGCCGGAUGCGGACGUGGGCACGGCUCUCAGCCUCUUGCUUAACACAGUAAACAAACAACAGCUUGCCCACCCUGAUGGGGUUUUUAUUGUCGCCGGCGACUUUAACAAAGCGUGCCUAAAGUCUGUGCUUCCUAAAUCUGGCCAGUUUGUAGACUUUGCCACAAGGGGUGAACACACUUUGGACUGGGUCUAUUCAAACAUAAGGCAUGCUUUCAGAGCGACACCCCUCCCCCACCUGGCUGGAUCUGACCACAUUAGCAUUUCCCUCACCCCCACCUACACACCUCUGAGGAGAAAAACAAAGCCCCAGACAAAGACAAUAAAAACCUGGCCAGAAGGAGCCCUCUCUCAACUGCAGGACUGUUUCUCAUCUACUGUAUGGGAUGUAUUUUCCAGCCACAACCUCCAGGAGUACACGGACACUGUACUCUCGUACAUCAGGAACUGUGUUGAUAAUGUCACCGUCAACAAAAGGGUAAGGGUGUUCCCAAAUCAGAAACCCUGGAUGAAUAGCGAAGUGCAAGCCCUCCUGAAAAGUCGCAACACUGCCUUCAAGUCAGGGGACAAGGCUGCGUAUAGGGCGGCCAGGGCAGACCUGAGUAGAGGCAUCAGGAAAGCUAAGGCUGCCUAUAGGAGAAGGAUUGAAGAUCACUUUGCUGACAACAACCCCAGGAGGAUGUGGCAGGGGAUUAAUCACAUUACCAAGCACAGAAGCAAUAACCUGGCGACAUCUAGUACUGAUGCCUCGCAUGCUGAGGAUCUAAAUCGUUUCUUCGCCUGUUUUGAGACGUCCAGGCCCUCAGAUGUAACUCUAUCUACUCCCGCCCCCAGCACCGGCACACUAACACUUGGGGAGCAUCAAGUGAGGUGUGUUCUAAGGUCAGUGAAUCCCAGGAAGGCGGCAGGUCCUGAUGGAAUACAUGGAAAGGUGCUCAGGGCAUGUGCUGACGAACUGACCGGAGUCUUCACUAAAAUCUUCAACCUUUCCUUGUCACUAAACACUGUCCAGCCCUGUCUCAAAACCUCCGCCAUCAUACCCGUCGCUAAAAAGUCAGCAGUGGUCAGCCCAAAUGACUACAGGCCUGUUGCACUUACGCCUGUAGUGAUGAAGUGCCUGGAGAGGCUGGUCUGUCAGUACAUCAGGGCCAUUCUGUCUCCCACUUUGGACCCCCAUCAAUUUGCCUACAGGACAAAUAGAUCCACCGAGGACGCUAUCACCAUAGCGCUCCACACUGCGCUGAGUCACCUGGAGCACAGAGGAAGCUAUGUGAGAAUGCUCUUUCUGGACUUCAGCUCAGCAUUCAAUCACAUAAUCCCUGAGAUCUUGGUCCAGAAAAUGUCUCACCUGGGACUCCCCACCCCCAUCUGCCUCUGGAUUAAGGACUUUCUGACAAAUAGAUCACAGUCUGUCAGACUCAGGCCACACCAGUCCAGCACCAUCACACUCAGCACCGGGGCUCCACAAGGAUGUGUUUUGAGUCCACUCCUGUUUACAAUCUACACAUCCGACUGCUCCCCUUUCCAUCUCUCGAACACCAUUAUAAAGUUUGCGGAUGAUACCACCGUGGUCGGACUCAUCUCGAAGGUGGAUGAGACGGACUACAGAGAUGAGGUCAACAGACUGACAGAGUGGUGUUCAGUUAAUAACCUCCAACUGAACACCACGAAAACUAAAGAAAUUAUCUUCGACUUCAGGAAGGGCAGAGCAGACCUGGCCCCAUUGUACAUUCAUGGGAACUGUGUGGAGAGGGUGCACUCCAUGAGGUUUCUGGGUGUGCAGAUCUCUGACGAUCUCUCCUGGACAGCAAAUACCACGGCAGUGGUAAAAAAAGGCCCAGCAGCGUCUCUACUUUCCGAGAGUGCUCAGGAGGAACAACCUGGAGGAGAGGCUGCUGGUGACUUUCUACAGAGCCACCAUAGAGAGCAUCAUAACGUACAGCAUAACAGCAUGGUACGCAGGGUUCUCAGCUGCAGACAGGAAAGUACUGCAGAGGGUCAUCAACACAGCCCAGAAGAUCACUGGCUGCUCUCUGUCCAGCCUGGAGGUCAUUGCAAACUAAACACCGUCCAGCCCUGUUAA
ensembl:lncRNA